UGACACAUUAUUGCUUUCCAGGAAGCGGUAGGGAUGACAAAAAAGCAUAUUCCAACAGGGCUUUGGAGAGGAUAAAGUCCAAGAAGUACUGAAACCAAGAGUGACUUAAAUUUUUAAGAAUCUUCAUUUUAAAGAUAAGUAGUAGUCCACAUAGGAAUGCAUGGUAUUCAAUGAUGAUUUCCUACGUUUAUUCAAGGGAUAGGAACAUGCUAUUGUGAUGAAGAAGGUGAUAAAGGAAAACAGACGAUGGUGGUUCCUAUCAAGAUCUUAGAGAAAGAGAACAUUAAAAGUUAAAUUUUAGGAUCUCUUGAAGAUCAGAAAUUUUGAGAAAGAGAGAAUCAAUGAAAUUCAGAAUUUGGUGGAGUUGGUAAAAGAUUCAGAUGAUUAAAUGUUAGACAAGGCUAUCUCACAGUAAAUUAUUGUCCCAGUGAGAAAAAAGGGUGAUACCAAUCAAAAUGUGGUCAAGUAAAGUACCAGAAUUAUUGAUAUAAAAAAAAUUAAUGUGAGUGAUGAAGUGGAAUAUUAGUGAUUGUAGUCAAAGAACAAAGUUAAGAUUUUAGAGAUGGAGAAGCCAAUAGCCACUAUGGGGAAAGGGUUGGAAAAGAUUAGAAGUGGAGGCCAUUUGUUAAGACUCCUAUGGAACAGGUGAGGCUAGGCAGCUGUAUGUGUUAUCAUCAGGGAUGGAAAAAUCUCAGGAUAAUGGCAGGAGUGGGGCGGAAAGAAAUCCUAUCAACCUGGAACCUAAGCAAUUUGAUGACUGAGAGGGGAUGACAUAGGUAUUAGGAUAUAACCGGGGAGCAGAUGUCAAAGUAGAUUGGUUAAAGUUGACUCCAGGGAAAUAAAAGCUAUUUAACAGGAGGGUAGAUAAAUAGGGCAUCAGUUUCCUAGAGUGGUGUUUCAGCUAUUAUUGUGUUGCUUAUUCUCUAGGGAGACAAAUUGGAGUUAUAUCCAACUAAUCAGAAGCUGGAUGUAGCUGAAGGACUUCUUGUUCUAAUUUAUCUGGCUGUGUCUUCACUGAGGAAGGAGAUAUGAUGGUUGAAGUUACAAGGACUCCUUGUUGUAAC
rnacentral:lncRNA from 1 species